rnacentral:rRNA from 1 species
UACGGAGGGUGCAAGCGUUAUCCGGAUUCACUGGGUUUAAAGGGUGCGUAGGUGGGCAGGUAAGUCAGUGGUGAAAUCCCCGAGCUUAACUUGGGAACUGCCAUUGAUACUAUUUGUCUUGAAUACUGUGGAGGUUAGCGGAAUAUGUCAUGUAGCGGUGAAAUGCUUAGAUAUGACAUAGAACACCAAUUGCGAAGGCAGCUGGCUACACAAAUAUUGACGCUGAUGCACGAAAGCGUGGGGAUCAAACAGG